GAUGAACGCUAGCUACAGGCUUAACACAUGCAAGUCGAGGGGAAACGAUAGAGAAAGCUUGCUUUUUCUAGGCGUCGACCGGCGCACGGGUGAGUAACGCGUAUCCAACCUGCCCAUCACUUGGGGAUAACCUUGCGAAAGUAAGACUAAUACCCAAUGAUAUCUCUAGAAGACAUCUGAAAGAGAUUAAAGAUUUAUCGGUGAUGGAUGGGGAUGCGUCUGAUUAGCUUGUUGGCGGGGUAACGGCACACCAAGGCGACGAUCAGUAGGGGGUAUGGGAAGAAGGUCCCCCACAUUGGAACUGAGACACGGUCCAAACUCCUACGGGGGGCAGCAGUGAGGAAUAUUGGUCUAUGGACGAAAGUCUGAACCAGCCAAGUAGCGUGCAGGAUGACGGCCCUAUGGGUUGUAAACUGCUUUUAUAAGGGAAUAAAGUGAGUCUCGUGAGACUUUUUGCAUGUACCUUAUGAAUAAGGACCGGCUAAUUCCGUGCCAGCCGCCGCAGUAAAAC
rnacentral:rRNA from 1 species